rnacentral:snoRNA from 1 species
AUCCUUUUGUAGUUUGGAAGUGUGAUAAUUGGGGAUUCACACUCGUAUGUGAGAUGUGUCACACCCGAACCUUUUUACGUUGGCAAAAUACCCAUCUGACA